rnacentral:rRNA from 1 species
AGAGUUUGAUCCUGGCUCAGAUUGAACGCUGGCGGCAUGCUUUACACAUGCAAGUCGAGCGGCAGCGCGGGGCAACCUGGCGGCGAGCGGCGAACGGGUGAGUAAUAGAUAGGAACGUGUCCGAGAGUGGGGGAUAACUAGCCGAAAGGUUAGCUAAUACCGCAUAUUCUCUGCGGAGGAAAGCGGGGGACCAGUAAUGGCCUCGCGCUCACGGAGUGGCCUAUCUCCGAUUAGCUAGUUGGUGAGGUAAAGGCUUACCAAGGCGACGAUCGGUAGCUGGUCUGAGAGGAUGAUCAGCCACACUGGGACUGAGACACGGCCCAGACUCCUACGGGAGGCAGCAGUGGGGAAUUUUGGACAAUGGGGGCAACCCUGAUCCAGCCAUGCCGCGUGCGGGAAGAAGGCCUUCGGGUUGUAAACCGCUUUUAUUCGGAAAGAAGGAGUUCGGGUUAAUACCCUGGAUGACAGACGGUACCGGAUGAAUAAGCACCGGCUAACUACGUGCCAGCCGCCGCGGUAAUUC